AUUUUUAAUGAAAAACCAGUUACUGGUUAAAUAGGUAAUAGAUAAAAGCAAGAAUAUACCGACAAACGAAUUAGUGUUCUCUCUCUCACGUCUUCUCUCUCAAACUGAAAACCUAGUGGGUGUUCCUUCUUUUAAUUCAAAAUCCUAAACGAUGCAUCUCUGCAACCGAUGGCCCAAGAGAGAGAAGGACUCAUUCUCUCGGGUUGUGCGCUUUGUCAAUAACUGCUUCAAACCUGAUGACCUAGAUUUUGUCUACUCCACUCCCAAAUGGAUCUCUAUCAUCAACCUCUGAUAAACGAGUAUGGGGGUCUGCUAGAUGAGAAGAGUAUAGCCUAAUCACAGCAACUGAAGGCCUCAGAAAGAUCACUCGCAAUGAUGUACCCCUUUCCUACUAUACAAGACUUUGGUAUGUUGUUUGCUUAUUCUAUAAAGAUUGGAAUAACUUGAGAUUUAGAUGAAGGUGAUUAUGCUACAUACCCUUUUGAUAUGCAUGUCUCAAAGAGUAGUUUCAUUAACUUAAGAUCUCCUUUGAUUUUGUGGGCAUCUUGUUCAAUUCCCCCUGUAAAUGUACACUAAUCUUCUAACUUUGGCUUUUCAUUUAAAAAAAGGUAUGCCUGGUAUGACCACCUAUGCUAGUUUCCAUGAAGUUUGUUCUCCUUAGAAAGGAGAAUAUGUCUUCGUUUCAGCAACAUCUGGUGCUGUUGGCCAGCUUGUUGGACAAUUUGCAAAAUUGUUGGGUUGUUACGUAGUUGGGAGAGUUGGAAGUAAAGAAAAGGCUAGCCAGGAGUAUAAUAAUUGAAGAUGGCAUUGAACUCAGGCUAACAUGGAAUGAUGAUAGAACCCAUUUUGUGUCUGUACAUCUGGGGAAGAGGGUCAGAUAAAAUAUUAGUUUGUUGCCUUACUCUUGGAGUUAGAACCUGUUUGUAACCUACAAAAUGGCUUAUUUGGCAUCAAACUUUCUCUAUGUACAAUUUUAUCUAAAGAAAAAGUGCUUAGUUACUCAUAUUACAUGAAGUAUUGUUAAAUCA